rnacentral:rRNA from 1 species
GACGUAGGGCGCGAGCGUUGUCCGGAUUUAUUGGGCGUAAAGAGCUCGUAGGCGGCUUGUUGCGUCGACUGUGAAAACCCGCGGCUUAACUGCGGGCUUGCAGUUGAUACGGGCAGGCUAGAGUUCGGUAGGGGAGACUGGAAUUCCUGGUGUAGCGGUGAAAUGCGCAGAUAUCAGGAGGAACACCGGUGGCGAAGGCGGGUCUCUGGGCCGAAACUGACGCUGAGGAGCGAAAGCAUGGGUAGCAAACAGG